UAUCAGCGCUCACCUGGCUGGUACCAAGAAGGUUCAGCAAGUGCUCCCCAGACCUGGAGUCCUGGACAGAUUCUUCCCAGACCAGCCUCAAGCUGUGCAGCAGAUCCGAGCGACAUUGGCUGACCUCUACACUCUAGACAUGGCAGGGUAAAGACAUGGUGAUGAAUGAGUGUGUGGGCCGUCUGCUGAGGACCAAGAGCUCAGGACAGUCAGACGGGGGCGUCGCAGCAGGAGUCACCGUGCUCGACAACCCUCUGCUGUCCUGAGAUGUCACACUCCUGCCUGCACAUACAAACCACACUGAAGUCAGAGUUCCACCUGCACCUCCACCUGUUCUUGCAACAGCAUGAAAACUGACAGAGGGUGAAGAGCAGUUAGCAGUGCAUUCAUGGACAUCUUUAAACUAUUAAUUGAAGAAUCUUUGGUCAUGAUGGCAUGAACUAGAAGCGUGAGCUCCAGGUGAGACUGCACAGAACAACAAGUGUCCUUAAACUGCAUCAACUGAUGACGUCUUACAAUUUUAUUCCACUGUGUGUUUUUAUCAUUGAAUG